rnacentral:rRNA from 1 species
AAUGAACGCUGGCGGCAUGCCUAACACAUGCAAGUCGAACGAGAACACCGGGAGCAGUGGCGUAUGGGUGCGUAACGGGAGGGAACCUGCACUCAGGUAUGGCAUACCUACACGACAGGGGUGCUAAUACCGAACAAGGUCUUAGGCCCAAAGAUAUAUUGCAUUUGGAUGGGCCCGCGUUGAAUUCGCUAGUUGGUAGGGUAAAAGCCUACUACGGCGCCGAUCAAUAGCUGGUUUGAGAGGAUGAUCAGCCACACUGGGACUGAGACGCGGCCCAGACUCCUACGGGAGGCAGCAAUGGGGAAUAUUGGACAAUGGGCUGAAUCCUGAUCCAGCAAUGCCGCGUAAGUGAUGAAAGCCUUAGAGUUGUAAAGCUCUUUUAACCGUGAUGGUAUUGACAGUACCGGGAGAGUAAGCUCCGGCUAACUCCGUG